AGCAGCCGCGGUAAUUCCAGCUCCAAUAGCGUAUAUUAAAGUUGUUGCAGUUAAAAAGCUCGUAGUUGAAUUUCGGGAUUAGUAGGUUGGUCGUGCCUCUGGUAUGUACUCGCCUUACUGGUUCCUCCUUCUUGAAGAACUGUAAUGCCAUUAAUUUGGUGUUGCAGGGACACAGGACUGUUACUUUGAAAAAAUUAGAGUGUUUAAAGCAGGCCAUUGCCUGAAUACAUUAGCAUGGAAUAAUGAAAUAGGACGUUGAUCCUAUUUUGUUGGUUUCUAGGAUUGACGUAAUGAUUAAUAGGGAUAGUUGGGGGCAUUAGUAUUCAAUUGUCAGAGGUGAAAUUCUUGGAUUUAUUGAAGACUAACUACUGCGAAAGCAUUUGCCAAGGAUGUUUUCAUUAAUCAAGAACGAAAGUUAGGGGAUCGAAGACGAUCAGAUACCGUCGUAGUCUUAACCAUAAACUAUGCCGACUAGGGAUCGGAUGAUGUUAAUUUUUAAUGACUCAUCGGCG
rnacentral:rRNA from 1 species